rnacentral:rRNA from 1 species
AGUGAACGCUGGCGGUAGGCCUAACACAUGCAAGUCGAACGGCAGCACAGUAAGAGCUUGCUCUUACGGGUGGCGAGUGGCGGACGGGUGAGGAAUACAUCGGAAUCUACUUUUUCGGGGGGGAUAACGUAGGGAAACUUACGCUAAUACCGCAUACGACCUACGGGUGAAAGCAGGGGAUCUUCGGACCUUGCGCGAUUGAAUGAGCCGAUGUCGGAUUAGCUAGUUGGCGGGGUAAAGGCCCACCAAGGCGACGACCCGUAGCUGGUCUGAGAGGAUGAUCAGCCACACUGGAACUGAGACACGGUCCAGGCUCCUGCGGGAGGCAGCAGUGGGGAAUAUUGGACAAUGGUCGCAAGCCUGAUCCAGCCAUACCGCGUGGGUGAAGAAGGCCUUCGGGUUGUAAAGCCCUUUUGUUGGGAAAGAAAAGCAGCAGGUUAAUACCCCGCUGUUCUGACGGUACCCAAAGAAUAAGCACCGGCUAACUUCGUG